GAUGAACGCUGGCGGCGUGCCUAAUACAUGCCAGUCGAGCGAACAGACGAGGAGCUUGCUCCUCUGACGUUAGCGGCGGACGGGUGAGUAACACGUGGAUAACCUACCUAUAAGACUGGGAUAACUUCGGGAAACCGGAGCUAAUACCGGAUAAUAUAUUUAACCGCAUGGUUCAAUAGUGAAAGACGGUUUUGCUGUCACUUAUAGAUGUAUCCGCGCCGCAUUAGCUAGUUGGUAAGGUAACGCCUUACCAAGGCAACGAUGCGUAGCCGACCUGAGAGGGUGAUCGGCCACACUGGAACUGAGACACGGUCCAGACUCCUACGGGAGGCAGCAGUAGGGAACCUUCCGCAAUGGGCGAAAGCUUGACGGAGCAACGCCGCGUGAGUUAUGACGGUCUUCGGAUCGUAAAACUCUGUUAUUAGGGAAGAACAAAUGUGUAAGUAACUAUGCACGUCUUGACGGUACCUAAUCAGAAAGCCACGGCUAACUACGUG
rnacentral:rRNA from 1 species